rnacentral:tRNA from 1 species
GCGGGCGUAGCUCAGUGGUUAGAGCGUCAGCUUGCCAUGCUGAAGGUCGCGGGUUCAAAUCCCGUCGCCCGCUCCA